CGGUCGGCAGCGUUACUUUGCCUCCACAAUUUCAUCGAAGCCGAAGAUAUGCCAACAGUUGUGUUAAGAUAGCUAGUUGAUAGCUUUUAUAAAAUAAGCUUUAAAAUGUAUUAUGAUACGAUCAGUGGCCAACUCAUGGUUGGCCACGAAAAUGCUAAUGUGGCAAGUCCACAAAACCCACUAAAGUCGGGUUUAUUUGGCGAAGCAGAAUUUAAUUUAGACUUAGUAUGAGCUUUAAAAGUUUUUCAUUAAGACAGAAAUGUCGCUUAACUACAAAUUAGUCGUCAAAAGUUAGCCUAGAUCUAGAAUCUAGAUCAAAUAGUUGAGGCAUCAAGAUCAUAAUCAGAAUUGAUCUGAAGACCACAAGGCCAGGUAAUGGCAUAAGAAUUAAGUGUAUGUCUAGACCUAUCUCAGCGUGCUUAAAUUUCUCCUAAGUGAUCGGGCUGGGUAACCAUGAUAUCUUGUCUACCUGAUGUACACAAAGAUUGUUGCUAGAUCAGCAUCAAUCAAUCACAGUAUUUUAAAGUCAAAGGUUAAUGGCGCGAUGACAGUAGCGAGGUAUAGCGUGACAUCGCCGAUUUCCUGUUUAUUGUGGCUACAAGCCACAAAUAAGCUCGUUUAACGUGGCGUCGGCUUAAGUAAGACGUUGCAUCAACUUAAAUUGGUUCGAAGUCACAGAAACAGUCUUUCAACUCCCAGUUGCACAUUUACCAGCUUAUUGUGUAGGAAUGUCCUCUUCCUUUCAAGCCUGAUUGCUGUAUGGAAUUCUGUUUUCAAAACAAACUGUAUUAUACUUCACAGACUGUUUUAGAAAUAUUAGGUUUCAUUAAAAUAUAGCUUCACCACAUUUUUACAUGUCCUGUUGACAAAUAGUUGAUCAUAAUACCUGCAUUCUACCUUCUGAAAUCAUUCACUUAAUCAUCUUGGAAACAAGUUUUUGUAAUUGUCAAUUUGUAACCACAAAUAGCACAUUACAGCAGCUCCAACAAACCAACUUACACACUUAUCAGUUACACAGGCAUCAGUUUACAAAAAUGUACAUAUAAAUUUGUAUUGUGGUUUUGUAAAAAAAAAAACAUGACUCUGCGGUUUAUUGUAUGCCGUUAGUUGUAUCCCUGUACCCCUGAAGGUUAACAGAAUAAAAGAAUUUUGAAAUGUUA